rnacentral:rRNA from 1 species
CAAUAGCGUAUAUUUAAGUUGUUGCAGUUAAAAAGCUCGUAGUUGGAUUUCGGGUGGGACCUGCCGGUCCGUCGUUGCGAUGUGCACUGGCCGGUCCCAUCUUGUUGUCGGGGACCAGCUCCUGGGCUUCACUGUCCGGGACUGGGAGCCGACGAAGUUACUUUGAGUAAAUUAGAGUGUUCAAAGCAAGCCUACGCUCUGAAUAUAUUAGCAUGGAAUAACACGAUAGGACUCUGGCUUAUCUUGUUGGUCUGUGAGACCAGAGUAAUGAUUAAGAGGGACAGUCGGGGACAUUCGUAUUUCAUUGUCAGAGGUGAAAUUCUUGGAUUUAUGAAAGACGAACUUCUGCGAAAGCAUUUGUCAAGGAUGUUUUCAUUA